GACGAACGCUGGCGGCGUGCUUAACACAUGCAAGUCGAACGGAAAGGCCCUGCUUUUGUGGGGUGUCAGCGUGGCGAACGGGUGUGUAACAUGGGAGUCACCUGCGUUUGACUUUGGAAUAACUUCAGGCAACUGGGGCUAAUACCUGCUUGGUGCUCCUGCUGCUUGGUGGGGGUUGGAACGUUUCGGCGGAUGGGGAUGGACUGGCGGGUAAUCAGCUUGUUGGUGGGGUACCGGCUUACCCAGGCUUUGACGGGUAGCCGGCCUGAGAGGGUGACCGCCGACAUUGGGACUAAGGUACGGACCAGACUCCAACAGGAGGCAGCGGUGGGGAGUAUGGCACAAUGGGCGGAAGCCUGAUGCAGCGGCGCCGCGUGCGGGAUGACGGCCUUCGUGGUGUAAACCGCUUUCACCUGUUACGAAGCGUGAGUGACGGUAAUAGGAGAAGAAGCACCGGCUAACUACGUG
rnacentral:rRNA from 1 species